ACCCCCACAUUGGGGAAUCUUCCGCAAUGGGCGAAAGCCUGACGGAGCAAUACCGCGUGAGGGAGGAAGGCUCUUGGGUUGUAAACCUCUUUUCUCAGGGAAGAACACAAUGACGGUACCUGAGGAAUCAGCAUCGGCUAACUCCGUGCCAGCAGCCGCGGUAAUACGGAGGAUGCAAGCGUUAUCCGGAAUGAUUGGGCGUAAAGCGUCCGCAGGUGGCUGUGUAAGUCUGCUGUCAAAGAGCAAAGCUCAACUUUGUAAAGGCAGUGGAAACUACACGGCUAGAGUGCGUUCGGGGCAGAGGGAAUUCCUGGUGUAGCGGUGAAAUGCGUAGAGAUCAGGAAGAACACCGGUGGCGAAGGCGCUCUGCUAGGCCGCAACUGACACUGAGGGACGAAAGCUAGGGGAGCGAAUGGGAUUAGAUACCCCAGUAGUCCUAGCUGUAAACGAUGGAUACUAGGCGUGGCUUGUAUCGACCCGAGCCGUGCCGUAGCUAACGCGUUAAGUAUCCCGCCUGGGGAGUACGCACGCAAGUGUGAAACUCAAAGGAAUUGACGGGGGCCCGCACAAGCGGUGGAGUAUGUGGUUUAAUUCGAUGCAACGCGAAGAACCUUACCAAGGCUUGACAUGUCGCGAACUCUUCUGAAAGGAAGAGGUUCUUUGGGAGCGCGAACACAGGUGGUGCAUGGCGUCGUCAA
rnacentral:rRNA from 1 species